rnacentral:rRNA from 1 species
UACGGGGGGGGCAAGCGUUGUUCGGAAUUACUGGGCGUAAAGGGUUCGUAGGUGGCUUGUUAAGUCAGACGUGAAAUCCCUCGGCUCAACCGGGGAACUGCGUCUGAGACUGAUGAGCUCGAGUGCAGGAGAGGAACGCGGAAUUCCAGGUGUAGCGGUGAAAUGCGUAGAGACCCGGAGGAACACCGGUGGCGAAGGCGGCUUCCUGGUCUGCAACUGACGCUGUGGCGCGAAAGCUAGGGGAGCAAACGGG